UACGGAGGGGGCUAGCGUUGUUCGGAAUUACUGGGCGUAAAGCGCACGUAGGCGGCUUGUAAGUUAGAGGUGAAAGCCCGGGGCUCAACUCCGGAAUUGCCUUUAAGACUGCAUCGCUCGAAUUGUGGAGAGGGUAAGUGGAAUUCCGAAGUGUAGAGGUGAAAUUCGUAGAUAUUCGGAAGAGCACCAGUGGCGAAGGCGACUU
rnacentral:rRNA from 1 species